UAUACGUCAGUAUUUAUGUGUCUCGUUGUAUGUAAUAUUUUAAUUAAACAGUGUAAUUACAAUAAUAAGAUGAAUAAAAAAGUUUCAUCGGAUGAAUCUAUGGACGAGGAUAAGGUGAUAAAAGAUUUUGAUGCAGAGGCGAAGUUAAUUAUUGAAAGCAACUAAUAAAUAGUUAAUAUAACUAUCAAAAACAGCAUUGUCAGUACUUUAGCUGUUGAAAACGACAUUGGACAUAAUGAAGAUUUAAGCCGUGAAAAUUAUCCUACAGCAUCCUCCACUUCUCAUGUUGAAAUAAUUGAUCAAACCAUCACCAAUAUAUGAAUCGAUAAAUCGACAAGAUAAUAACCUGCAGCCAAUAGUCGUCGAGUCAAAUGAUCACCAAAAUCCAGAUUCAAUAGAUGUUGAAGUACUUGGAUCUCAAUUACAAGCUGCCACUACAUCAGUUACUAACGAUCAUAGUAUUGAUGUUCCGAUUAUAUUUAAUGAAAAUUUUGAAACGUUACUAUUGAAACUUCAAGUAAACAUCAUGACUACACAAAAUAAUGAAGAGAAAAAGAAAAAAAUGAUCGAAAUGAAUAAAAUGUUGGCAUCUCUUGAUAUGAAUAUGAAUGACUCCUGUUUACCACCGGCAACAUCGAAUUCUGUACUACAAUCAAAUAUUGGAUGCUUGACAAUAUUUUCAAGCCAUUCACGUGGACGUGGAAGAGGCAGAAGAAACCGAGUCAUUGGGCUUUCUGCAAGUCAAAGGUCAACAAAAUACAAUUCAUUUCAAAACCUGAAAAACACCACUAAAGUAAUUGAAAUUCUAUCAUUGAUAAUAAAAGAUAAAAGUGUAAUAAACCGAAUUGUCUUAGGCUAUAAAAAAAUCAAGCACAACGAUUUGAUUCAUCUGCAGCCUGGCAAUAUUUGUGAUGCUUUGGCAAGCGAGAUAAUCACUGACGAUAUUAUCGAAAAAUUUUUUGAACCGGAUGCUUAUGCAAAUUACAAAAAUAUAAUAAAAAUAAAAUGCAACAGUGAUGAUUGGCAGUGCAAAAUUUGUGGAAGUAAUUUAAACACUGACUACAGCGUACUCUCUUAAAAUGAACCAGUGAAAUUCCACUGAUUCAACCAGUGAAGUUCACUGGUUUAACCAGUGACUAAAAGUUCACUGGUUGAACCAGUGAACGUCGCGCUCACUGGUUUCAACCAGUGAACUAAAAAUAUGUAAGCGCGUGGGUACAGCAGCAUUCUGUACAUGAGUAUAUUUAAGUGUUUGAUUAUGUCAAUAAAUAAGUAAUAUUUAUUGAUUAUCUUCAUGUAAUAUUUUAACUAACUUUUAUAUAACAAUAAUAAUUAUAUGACACAAUUUUUAUAGAGUUUAAAAAUAAAUAACUUUGGAGUAAUUUCAAUAGCUUGGAGCUAACCUCAAAAAUGAAAGACAUAAUUUUAAAAUUAAACAAUAUAAAAAGCCCAUUGAAAAUGGAAGCAAAUUAAAUUUUU